AGGAAAAUCCAAUUCCAAAAAUGUCAAUCCAAGUCAAACAAAAAAAGUUUAUCAGUGCUCUGAAUGUGGAAAAACACUCACCACUAACCACAGACUUCAGGUACACAGAAGAAUUCACACUGGGGAGAAGCCAUAUAGCUGUUCUGAUUGUGGCAAGAGAUUCUCUGGUAACCGGCCUUCUGAAGCACAGAAGAACUCGCACUGGAGAGAAGCCACAUUAUUGUUCCGAGUGUGGAAAAGCAUUCGCCAGGAAAAGCAACCUUGAGAGCCAUAGGAAAGUUCACAGUGGAGAGAAACCUUAUGCUUGUGGUGUAUGUGGCAAACGAUGUUCAACCAGUACCGUUCUUCAAAUCCACACACGAGUUCACACGGGAGAAAAGCCGUACUGUUGUUCUGAAUGUGGAAAGCGAUUCACUGCCAGUAGCCCACUUCAAAGACACAUAAGAUUUCAUGCUAGAAAGAUCACACAGUCUAGACAAUGCAAGAAAAAAAGAGAAUAAGAAAAGUCUUGGAGUAACAAAAGGGGCAGUGCAAAAAUGACUUCAUAAGUCGAGAAUGUUGAUCACUCCUGGCUUGAAAGUCUGGGUUUGGCAGGUCCCUCUACAUCUCGAUUAAUCUGGUACUCUGCAGGUAAUGUGAAGAGGUGGACAGAGAGGGCAAAGAGAUGCAGCCACUAUUGUUAAUGCUCUAUUAUCAUGACAUAAUCUGGUCCAUUGGUGGCAAUGGUCACUUUCCCCUCUUCUACUGAUGACUUACACAGAGAUGUUAACUUUAGUAUUUUUGGCAAUGGCUUGUUUCUUAAAUUUUUUGAUAGUGUUUUUGAGCACCACUUUGAUAUUUUCUCUUACGAUGGUAGAAGUCUUAAACGGUAUACAAUAAACUUGGAACAGAUUUCAAAGAUUA